rnacentral:rRNA from 1 species
AGUAACGCGUAGGUAACCUACCUAUAAGACUGGGAUAACUUCGGGAAACCGGAGCUAAUACCGGAUAAUAUUUUGAACCGCAUGGUUCAAAAGUGAAAGACGGUCUUGCUGUCACUUAUAGAUGGAUCCGCGAUGCAUUAGCUAGUUGGUAAGGUAGCGGCUUACCAAGGCAACGAUGCAUAGCCGACCUGAGAGGGUGAUCGGCCACACUGGAACUGAGACACGGUCCAG